UGAACCUUUAUGACAUCAUCGAUGAGAACAUUGAUGACAUGAUGAUGUCAAACAACCUGUGUCAGGUUUUUGUUUGUUUUAGUUGCUAUGGCAACACAAGGAGUUAUGUAUGAGAUAAGACUACUCUCAAUUAAAAAUGCAUGUGUAUACAUCUAGAUUUGUGAAUUUAAGUUAAUAAAUGUGCAUAAAUUUUUUAGCAGCACAGAGGAGCGGGGAAGGACAGGUGGCUACAACAGCCCAGGCAGACACCCAGAGGCAGGUCACCAGCGCCGCAAAGGAGCAGCCACCAUCAGGCCAAGCAGACUCAGGAUUAAACUAGAGAAGAGUUGUAGAUGUUGCGGAGGAGGAAUGUCACUGAGCAUCGGGGGAACUUCAGCACAUCAGAAAUGCUCAUGUAGAAAUCAUCAAGAAGCUGACAGCAUGAAGGUGACCAGCAGACAGAGGAGAGGGGGACGGCACAGCCUGGCCAUGGCUGCUGCAUGGUGGUUGGAGAAGGGGAGCGGCUCUGCCCUGAGAGUGAGAGCUGAGCGACGCAGCAGAAACACAAAAACACUGAAACACACCAGAGGUCAGACAGGCUCCAGGAGAGGUCAUCCUCACCAGCCUCUCCUUCGUUGUCAUAGCGACCUCCAAGGUCAGGAAGCAGAUGGGCAGGUCUGCGUUCUCAACACAGGCUGGGUUCGGUUGUGAUUGGCCCAGUUCCUGUGUAGCUGGAUGUGAGAGUGUUAUCAGAGCUGAAGGGCAGCGGUGGGGCGGGGGGUCUGACUUUGACUUCUUCAGGGUCCGACUAGAGCAGCUGGGCUGCUGCACAGGGUUCCUAUUAUUCAUGCAUUGUGCUGGCAUUGGCAUUACUGGACACCGCUGUGCUGAGAGUGCUGCACCAACUGCCACUUACUGUACAAUGAGGUCUGGAGGAGAACACAGCAGAGGAGGGUUCCUGCCAGGGCCCCUGGAUGACAGCUGCAGGACUGAAUGAAGAGGAUCACAGGAAGGCUUUUACAGAAUAUCAUGGAAGCAUUUCCUACCAGUACUUUACUUCCUGCAACACAUUCCAUCCAUUAGCCUGUGGAGGUUUUGAUCUGCUUUUGUUUUCACUGGCUGUUGAACUCGGUUCAGUUCAAAUCCACAGAAUCACAACAGCAAAGAGUUCAUGUAUCUAUCCUCUGCCUGAACUUUUGGUGACUGCCAGGUCCUGUUCCAUUUCUCCUGCUACCCCUAGACACACGAGUGUAUAUGCAGUGCUCAUAUUUUGCAUUAUAGAUUAGCAAUGCUGCCUGGUUGCGUGUCGAAGCACACAGUUCAGAGUCUGGGCUGGAUUUACUGCAACAUUGAUUCCCAGGAAGAUUAGAGGCUAUCUUUCUAUUUCAUUGUUUGAAUAAUUUUUCUCACCGCUGGAUAAGGUUUUUAAACUUGUUUUAAAAUUCUUUUAGAAACAAUUGCUUCUCAGGUGAUUUCUGAAGUCUUUCCUGGUAAUACACACCUGUGUGUUCCAGACCUGCAGACUGUGUUUUACAUGGGUGAUCAAACUGAGGAUGAUUACUGCAUCAGGUGCUUUAGUUUUAGAUCUGCGCCUGGAUGCCUCCUUAUCUUCUACAUUUUGUGAAAAUGGCAAAGACAUGCUCAGUUUUUAACACUGAGGUUCCCCAUUUUUGCCUAGCUGACUGUAUUAAUUUUUUUUCUUUUUUUUUCUUUUUUUACUGGAAAUAUUUUACAAUCUGGUGAGGAACAGAAAAUGUGGAUGACGCACUGGAGGCGAGGAACAGAUCUGUUUUCUCCUGAACUCAGCGGUGCAGCCUGCUCUCUGCCCAGCUCCUCCACAUUACAGCUGCCUGAUUACAGUUGUCGUCCUCUGCUCAUCCUGCGGUGAAGCUCCAGCACCUUCCAGGCUCAUCUUGUGGAGAAGACUGUCCUCCCCUCUGCCCUCCUCCUGAGCUCUUGAUUAGUAGCCAGACUGAGCAGCAACAUGUGGCUAAUCGCUGCUGUCUGCCUCCUCUGCUCUCUACACCAGGAUAAUAACCUGACAUUUCACCACAGGAGUUCUGUAAGGAUCCAUUUUAUAUGAGAACUCCUCAGAUUAACUGCAUUACACGACCAUUAUGAGUAUAAUUGAC